AAAAUUUCAUUUUCUCUUUUCUUCUUCUUCUUCUCUUCCCUUCACCGCCAAGAGUUUGAAGACAUCCAAGUUCCCUUUAUUUUUUUUUCUUUUUCCUUCUUCAAUUUGCAGAGAACUUCUAAGAGAGAGUUUGGAAGAAGAAGAGAAAUUUUACUAGAAUUUUUAGGUUGAAGAAGAGGAGGAGAACUCAAGCAAAGUGUAUCAAUGGCUGAAUUUUAGUUCAUUAUGCACAUCACUGGUUUUUAAUUCGGUUUGAACUCUUCAAAAGGAAUUAAGAGGGCAGUUGGUUUUCACUCGAAAUCAGGAGGUCUCUGGUUUUUCUUGUAUUUCAGAGUGUAUCGGUGGAGUUAGAAUCUCUAUUUAAUAUGGAACAAGUUAAAGAGGUCGUGUGCGCGCGAUUCUGGAAGUGGUUCUGUUUUGAGGGUUAUAUGUGUUUAUGCACGGAGAAUCAGAUUUAUAUGUCUUCAGGCCGAGAAGAAUUAAACCGAGCUUAUAGACCAAGGAUCUAGCCCAAGACUGUAGAGAUCGACUUCCCGGUGCUUGAUAGACUGCCUUAGUCUGCGGAAGCUUCAUUAUCGAUUGCCAGUACGUGUUUUGAGUUGGGCAUAGAGUCUGUUGUGUUGUGGUGUAUAUACACCCUUGUAUGUUAUAGAUACUCCACAGUUUGUAUAAGCUUUAGGAGCUGUAGUUGUGUAAAUUUUGUUGGUUAUAUUUUGAUUAAGGUGUCUUUAGGUUUACUCGUGAAAUCGGUAAAUUUUGAGGUACACUUCAUGUAUGUGUUUGACUAGCUGUGUUUAACUAGCCUAGGAUCCGCUGUGUUUUGUGGCAUGUACAAUAGUUUAUAUACUAGAUUGGCAAGUUCAUCACAUGAAAGUUUUAAGCAGAGUCGACAGAUACAGGUACAGAAAAGCGUUGUUCGUCGGCUUCACGCCAUCUUUCGGUCUAAGGUAGCAGGUAGUCCGGGAGGGGGUGUGACAGAGUAUAUGUUUAUACUCACCCUUUUUCAUGUUUAAUAUUUCAGGCAAAGAUAAAGGUAGAGUAAAGCUAGUGAACGACAGAGAAGGAUUCGUGACAUGCCAUAUGGGGACUCAUGAGUGUUUCAGUAUCAGUGUUUCAGUAUUUUGUUUUCAAUGAACGACAGAGAAUUGAUCAAUUUUGCUUCCGCGUCUAUGUAUCAGUGUUUCAGUAUUUUGUUUUCAAUGAAAAUUUAGUAUUCCUUUUUUCAAGAAAGUGUCUCUUGUUAUUGUUUUUUUUAGUAAUGAUCUCAACUUAAUAUAAAGAGUUGGGUCAUUAUAGUUAGUAUCAGAGCUUCAGAUUUUAGGUAAUGUAGACUGACUUACGAUGUGAGUUUUUGAUUCUGUCUCUAUGGCUAUUACGGUCUUUCAUCACUCGCCAGUUCAUUGUAGUUAUGGUUAAAUUGGCAGUAAUUGUUUUUCAGAGUGGUUAAUGGGAUGAGCAACAUUACUACGUGG